GGGUUUCCGGCAGCUCCGGCUAUUUUCAGGCACGCGGUGUUCGAAUCGUCUAGCUUUCGGCCCUCUGCUGUCUGGCUACGGAUCUCGCCUUUUCCCCUCCGGAGCCCCCCCCAGCAUGGGUCCCUGGCCCCGCUUGCUGCUGGCCGCCUUCCUCCUGCUCUUGUCCGGCGUCGGCACCGCGCACUGCGACACACCGGCCAACUGCACUUACCCUGACCUGCUGGGCACAUGGGUCUUCCAGGUGGGCGCUGUUGGUUCCCAACGCAACGUCAACUGCUCGGUCAUGGGACCACCAGAAAAAAAAGUAGUGGUGCAUCUUGAGAAGCUGGACACAGCACGUGAUGAUCUUGGCAAUACCGGCCAUUUCACCAUCAUUUACAAUCAAGGCUUUGAGAUUGUGUUGAACGACUACAAGUGGUUUGCCUUUUUUAAGGAUGUCACUGAUUUUAUCAGUCAGUUGUUCAUGCAGCUGGGAACUGUGAGGGUACAUGAUUUGAGACAUCUGAGGAACAAACUGGGGGGAUACCUCUAUUAGAAGAUUACCACCACCCCCCACACCGCUAGUAUUUGCUCUGUAAAUGAGAUAAAUAGCCUUGUACCUGGAAAUAUGGAUCAAAGCAGCAUUAAGCCUCCCUGUAGAAUUUGAAAGUUGUUACAUAGAGCAUCUGUUGAGGGGCUCUUUCAAAACAACAGCCAAGCACAGUCUUUGGGGCUAAGAGGCAGAGCAGCAUUCAGCCAUGGACCUGCCUCCCUCUAACAGGUAGCAGAGGCCUCUGACAGCUACAUUCCCUUCUGGAGUCUUUCUGUGCCUGUAAAAUGCUGAGCAGUCCUGGUGACCUACCUCCAAGGCAGCUGCCCUCCGGAACAUUUCCUUGGAAAGCAGCAACCGCCAUUUUGAAAUGUGAACAACCAGAGACUACACAGGAAAAAGGAAAGAAAAGUCUGGAAGUCUUAGGUGGCUUCACCAGCCUUUGAAUGAAAGGAAAGAUGCGCAACUCAAGUUUUUCCCUUCGAAUAUUACUCUAUUGAAAUUAUUUUUUCCAAACUGAUUAGGAUUUGAAUUUUGUGUUUAAUUUUGUUCAUAGUGCAAAUUUUAUUCCCAGUUAAAUUAUCUUCGUGUGUGCCUUCUUUCUCUAAUUACCUUGAGGAACCCCAGCACCUAAUGUAAGGAGAAAAUGCUUCAGGAUAACUCGAGAUGCAGAUAUGUUAUUGGUGGAAAGAUGGUUUUGUGGAGGACUUCGUUGGGGGAACAGGUUUGCUGAGAUAAGUCAAACUGCUGAAAGCUAUCUUUGCAGAUCAUAGGCCUGCAUUACCCUGGCCAGAAAGAUGGGGUGAUUAAUACUUCUUUUUUUUUUUUUUUUUGCCUAUUUUUUGAUUAGAUGCCAGCUUUGUACUAAGAACUUGAUGUGCUUUACCUUACAAGAAUCUUUUGAAGUAGAUAUUACUAGCUUCAUUUUCUAGAUGGGGAAAAUGAGUCUCUUAUAAUGCUUAAACUCACAUGGUAUCUAAUUGUAAAAUGACAAGGGCUAGUCUCUCAAGCCUAAGGACCUCCUUGGGGCUAAAGAGUAAAAGAGGGCACCUGGGUGGCUCAGUCGUUAAGCGUCUGCCUUCGGCUCAGGUCAUGAUCCCAGGGUCCUGGGAUUGAGUCCCACAUCGGGCUCCCUGCUCGGCAGGAAGCCUGCUUCUCCCGCUCCCCCUGCUUGUGUUCUCUCUCUCGCUGUGUCUCUCUCUAUCAAAUAAAUAAAUAAAAUUAAAUUUAAAAAAAGUAAAAGAAAAGCCAUUUCACAAAGAAGUAAUGGUACUUGGAGUAGCAUUUCAAUAGAUUUUCUGGUGAAUCCCAGUUUGUAAGCAUCUUGAAGGCUAGUUUAAUAGAAUUAAUUGCAUUGCGUUGACUCCUUUUGAAAUUUUAGGAGAACUGGCUUAAAGCUUACAUUUCCUUACCAAAUUAGGCUAUUCCCUUUCUUUCCUAAACCAGGGUCCUUUUCAAAAGGAAAACUUACCUUCUUUCCUUUUCUAGUCCUCCAACUUGGGAGGAGAGCUUUGUAAGCUUCAAAUUAAUUACAAAUUAAGUACCCUUGCCAAGUUGACUUCUUGCAGUUACACUAUUGUUCACACUGAUUGCUAUCUUUCAGCUCUUUCCUACUAAACAAUGGACUGUUUCCUGCUCAGUUCAGUAAACUGAAAAUGUGGGGCUACACCUAGUCCCUGUUUUCUGGGAGGGCUUUUCUCCUGUAUCUUUGCUUCGAUGGAGGAAUCUCUAGAUACCGGAUUUUUAUCAUUAUUUUAUUGGUUUAGAUAAUUUUUUAUGACCUCUGAGAGGCACUGGUCUGCUAUUCUGGGCAGGUCAUGUCUUAGAAAGGUGAAGUAACUGUACACGUGACUGCUUCUACCUUGGUACUUUCUUCCAUCCUACCUCUGGACCUGAUCAUUCGUCACUCAGGACCUUGAUGCGGCCUCUGUGAGACCCUCCCCAGUGCUCUCCAUUUGUGGGAGAGAUGCCGUUAUUUGAUUCACGUUGUGCUUUGCAGUCACCUCUGCUCAGGUAGUACUGUUCUAACUGCUGUAGACAUGGAGUGAUUUUGAUAGCACGUUUUCACCUUCUUCCAGAUUGAAAAUCUGUCGAUCUCCCUGUGUGUCUUCAGAACCCAAUUACCCAGGACUUGAUAAGUGUUUGGAAAAUUGACCACACUUCUCUUGUCUCUUCAAAGGCUUUUCACAAGUAUUAUCAGCUUGCAAAGAAUUAAUUCUAUAGGAUUCUAGAAGCACAAAUCAGGAACGAUGCUAUGUUUAUAUUUUUGGUUCUGUGUUCUAAAAAAUAAGGUUACCCGUCUCCAGAGUUCUAAAAGAGUGGUGUAUUUUCAACCUAAUUUCCAGGAUGCGAAUACUGACAAAGCAGCUAAUGUGUAUAAGAAUGUAUUUCAUAUUGAAUUUAAAAUCACCUCUACUAAAGUCUUUUUUUUUUUCUAUAUCUCUGAGCAACUUUGCACGUAAAUGUUUUGAUUAUGGAGAAGACUUGGUGGGUACAGAAUUAUAGAUAUUUGUGUUAGGAGGCGCCAUAAUAUAAUACUGCUUAGCAUUCUCUGUCAUAAUUGUUUGUCUUCUCUAAUCUUUAAAUUCAGAGGGCAGGAAUGUACUCUGUAUUAUUAACCAUUUUGUUCCCUGUAUAUAGUGUGAUAUGUGAUAAAUAGACCUUUAAUAAAUGUCUGUAGAAGAAAGAAAA